UGAGGAAUAUUGGUCAAUGGUCGCAAGACUGAACCAGCCAUGCCGCGUGCAGGAAGACGGUCCUAUGGAUUGUAAACUGCUUUUAUACAGGAAGAAACCCUCCCACGUGUGGGGGCUUGACGGUACUGUAGGAAUAAGGAUCGGCUAACUCCGUGCCAGCAGCCGCGGUAAUACGGAGGAUCCAAGCGUUAUCCGGAAUCAUUGGGUUUAAAGGGUCCGUAGGCGGUCUUAUAAGUCAGUGGUGAAAGCCCAUCGCUCAACGAUGAAACUGCCAUUGAUACUGUAAGACUUGAAUGCUUAGGAAGUAACUAGAAUAUGUAGUGUAGCGGUGAAAUGCUUAGAUAUUACAUGGAAUACCAAUUGCGAAGGCAGGUUACUACUAAGUGAUUGACGCUGAUGGACGAAAGCGUGGGGAGCGAACAGGAUUAGAUACCCUGGAUAGUCCACGCCGUAAACGAUGGAUACUAGCUGUUCGGCGCAAGUUGAGUGGCUAAGCGAAAGUGAUAAGUAUCCCACCUGGGGAGUACGCACGCAAGUGUGAAACUCAAAUGAAUUGACGGGGUCAUAGCUGUUUCCUG
rnacentral:rRNA from 1 species